rnacentral:rRNA from 1 species
AUUAAACGCUGGCGGCAUGCCUUACACAUGCAAGUCGAACGGCAGCACGGGGGCAACCCUGGUGGCGAGUGGCGGACGGGUGAGUAAAGCAUCGGAACGUAUCCUGGAGUGGGGGAUAACGUAGCGAAAGUUACGCUAAUACCGCAUAUUCUGUGAGCAGGAAAGCAGGGGAUCGCAAGACCUUGCGCUCUGGGAGCGGCCGAUGUCGGAUUAGCUAGUUGGUGGGGUAAAGGCCUACCAAGGCGACGAUCCGUAGCGGGUCUGAGAGGAUGAUCCGCCACACUGGGACUGAGACACGGCCCAGACUCCUACGGGGGGCAGCAGUGGGGGAAUUUUUGGACAAUGGGCGGAAGCCUGAUCCAGCCAUGCCGCGUGAGUGAAGAAGGCCUUCGGUUGUAAGACUCUUUC